GAACUAUUCUUCACAACCUGGGUCCAAUUGCUUGCUGGGAAGCAGCUGCCUGCCUCUCUGAUCUGAACAAGCAAGAUCAGCAUUCUCAGAAAGCAACAAAGUGAGACAAUACUUUUCUCUGGAUCAGGGAUAGGACAAGCCUACAGGGCUACAGGGAAGGGCACCAAAACAUACCCAUUUCCAAGGGCUGAACUCUGGAGGCCUGAGGUCCACCCUACUUACUCACCCUUUCAACUUAAAGCCCUUGUAAUCUUAAGAAAAAAAAAAGACAUAAAAAAAUAAAACAAAUAAUGGUAAAACAAAAACAAUAAAAAC
rnacentral:lncRNA from 1 species